AUUGAACGCUGGCGGCAUGCCUUACACAUGCAAGUCGAACGGUAACAGGUCUUCGGAUGCUGACGAGUGGCGAACGGGUGAGUAAUACAUCGGAACGUGCCUAGUAGUGGGGGAUAACUACUCGAAAGAGUGGCUAAUACCGCAUGAGAUCUACGGAUGAAAGCAGGGAAUCGCAAGACCUUGUGCUACUAGAGCGGCCGAUGGCAGAUUAGGUAGUUGGUGGGAUAAAAGCUUACCAAGCCGACGAUCUGUAGCUGGUCUGAGAGGACGAUCAGCCACACUGGGACUGAGACACGGCCCAGACUCCUACGGGAGGCAGCAGUGGGGAAUUUUGGACAAUGGGCGAAAGCCUGAUCCAGCAAUGCCGCGUGCAGGAUGAAGGCCUUCGGGUUGUAGACUGCUUUUGUACGGAACGAAAAGCCCCGGGUUAAUACCCUGGGGUCAUGACGGUACCGUAAGAAUAAGCACCGGCUAACUACGUGCCAGCCGCCGCGGUAA
rnacentral:rRNA from 1 species